GUAAAGACUGUCUGCCGGUGGCUGAGGUAAAGACUGUCUGCCGGUGGCUGUGGUAGAGACUGUCUGCCGGUGGCUGUGGUAGAGACUGUCUGCCGGUGGCUGUGGUAAAGACUGUCUGCCGGUGGCUGUGGUAGAGACUGUCUGCCGGUGGCUGAGGUAAAGACUGUCUGCCGGUGGCUGUGGUAGAGACUGUCUGCCGGUGGCUGUGGUAGAGACUGUCUGCCGGUGGCUGUGGUAAAGACUGUCUGCCGGUGGCUGUGGUAAAGACUGUCUGCCGGUGGCUGUGGUAAAGACUGUCUGCCGGUGGCUGUGGUAAAGACUGUCUGCCGGUGGCUGAGGUAAAGACUGUCUGCCGGUGGCUGAGGUAAAGACUGUCUGCCGGUGGCUGAGGUAAAGACAGUCUGCUAUGUCAAGAGAAGUUAACUAUAAUGGGAAUACAGCAGCGUUUGGGUGAAGUACUUUGUUCUUGUUGAGAUAAUAGCAAUAUGAAACCAGACCAGUCCAUGUCAUCCUGUUCUGGUCCACACCCCGAGUGGCCCCUUUCUGACAGUUGAAUUUAUUUAAAUACCCAUUGUGUUCUGUGGGGCACUACUUCAGGCCAGAGGACUCUGACGAGUGGCAGAGCUGGUUAAAAGUAGUCCACUAGCUACACGGUGAGUAGGAUGGUAGUUUGGGAUGCACAGCUUACUCAUCAUGCUGUUUCCUCAUUUAGAUUGCUGGAAGGAAUUGAUCAUGCACUUUAUUGUGUCAGGAACAAGAAGGAUGGUCACUGGAACACACAAACAAACCGAAGGCUUCAUGGUCAGCAGAAUGUGACCGUCUGCAUCCCAAACUCCACUCUAUUCCCUUUAGGGCACUACAUCUAACCAGGUUGCUUGGGGCUGGGGUCUGAAGUCACACUGUGCAUGGGGGGAGGGUGCCAAUUGGGACGCACCCUCUAUCCUCAAUGUGCCUAGCCCCUAACCCCAGCCCUAACCCCAGCCCUGGCCAGAGUGGUUGUCAGCAUUACCGGAUCCUGUUUCUUUGACCGACUGUUGAGAAACUUGGUGGUUCAUUCCAACCCCUCCAAUGCUGGCCAUGUCUGGUUUCUUGUCAUGCAAUUGGAUCGAGGACGCGUCUCUUCAUUGUUUUGUUUCUUGCUUUUUAUCUUGAUUGGAUUGGCUUCUGUGUUAGUAUGGGCCUUGUCUCCAUUUAACGUAAUCCUCCUCUUCUGUCACUUUCAUGUACAGCUGUUUAACCAACUAAAGGUUCCCUGCUGCCCCCUGGUGUGGGUGGCCAACUGACAGAUGGGAUCUUAACUCUUAGGAAGUGCCACAUAGUUGACAUCUUCCUGCAUGUUGAUGCUAUAUAGGUGCAGUGCAGAGGUCAAUGGAACACAGUCCGAAUGAGACUGAAAUACGAUCAUUGGUGCACUCCCAAAAAUAUGACAUUCUGGCCAGCUACCAGAUGCUCUUAUCCUGAGGGACAAUGGGAUUGUCUUGCUCAAGGACAGAACGACAGAUUGUUCGCCUUGAAUUGUGAUUUAAUUUAGCAUCAGGCUACAAACUAUACCGACUAUGCUAGUGUAUUUGGCUGUUUUCACUGCAUAACAUUUAGAAGUUUUACAGGUUUAGAAGAAGCAACCGCUUCUUUAUACUUUCCAUUUGCUGGUAGUCCAGCUAGCAUACUCAUAUCAGCUAGCAUACUCAUAUCAGCUAGCAUACUCAUAUCAGCUAGCAUACUCAUAUCAGCUAGCAGACGGAUACCAGCUAGAAGUGGUGUCAUUCAGGUUUUUUUAUUUUAUUUAUCGUUGUCGUUUUGUGAGAAUGGCCUGAACUUAAAUUGGGGUUGAGGUCCAUACCUAGAUUUUUUCCCAAACAAGAGUAGAUUUGUGUUCUUUCCUGAUGAGUUUCCAUGGCAUUUUCAUUGUUUUGGUCAAGUUCCACUGACUUGUUUAUUGUAUCUAUUGUAACUGCCCUGUCUGUACUGUAUGAAUGGAUUCUCUGAUAAGGGAUUGUCAUUGUAUUCUCCUUGCACAUUAUAAAAUGUUUGCUGCUUCUGAUUUAUAUGAAUAUAUAUAUAUUAAAUGAAAUGCAUUCAUAAA
ensembl:lncRNA